CAGCAAUGCUUUCUGGAAGCAGUGUGUGCUGGUAAAUGCCAGAAGCUCACUCAUCUGGUAACCUGUGAAAAUUCAUUGGAUUUGGGUGCCAUUGCAGAUGCCUGUUCCUUAGGAUGCUUUCUGUGGCCUCACCAUCAGCUAGAGCAUGGAGUGGAGCAUAGAGUGUCCGCUACUUGGUCCAGUGGGUAGGUUUGUCUGCUUUUGUCCAACUCUGAUCUUAAUGGGGACCGAAUCUAUCUUGAAAUCUUUGAGCUGUGGGCACUAGCCUACAACCGUUGGGACACAGUAGGCUCUCAGCAAGUGUCAGUUACACUGAGACAUCUUUCAUCCUCUCGUAACACCUGCAUACAUCAGAAGUCCUCAGACUGCUUCUCUGCAACACGUACCCGAGGAAUAAGAUAAGGCUCCAUCAGCACCUGCUGUCUGACAUGACCCCAGCAGGGGAGCUGCAUGCCUGGUUCUAACCCUG